UCAUCAAGGAAAUAAGAAACU
rnacentral:misc_RNA from 1 species